GCAGACUCACUCUGCAUCCAACUGCAGCCCCAGUCUGGGUGCUUUUUUCGUCUGCCAGAGAAACACCUGGCCGCCAUGUGGGCCUCGACUUGUCGAUGGCACUGCAGCUGGCCGGGGACAGUGGU
rnacentral:snoRNA from 15 species